rnacentral:lncRNA from 1 species
GAGGUACCAUCUGUUUCCUAAUUUUAAAAGUAAUAAGUCAUGGAUUCUUUGCUAUUAUCUAAACAAUAUUUGAGGUAUGUGGUUUUAUUAUUUAAUUAUUGUCAGAAUUGUUUCUAGUGGUGUCUUUGUUGUCCCAUAGAAUAAUUUCAAGUGGCAUUAUCUUUUACAGUAAAUUGUUUGAAAUUAUGUCUCUUCAUGACCAUUAAUAUAAUCUGCCUGUUAAGUAUAAUAGUAAGAAAGUAAUAAAUUGGUUUUUUUAGCAUACAAUAAUCUAUACAAAAAAAAUCCCAAAGGUGCUAAGUGUAGUCUAUUCUGUUACUUAUGAACUGCUCAUUAAGAGAGCUGUUUGGUUUCAGGGAAGUUGCAUUGGACAUAAUUGACUUUGAUAUAACAGUAGUAUUGUUUCAGUUAAAUUGAUAUGGACAGCCAUUCUUCUAGAAUCCUUAAGCAUUUCAUCUCCGUAGUCCAAUUAAAGGAAGUCAUCAGAAAGCAAAAAUAUUUCAAAUCAUUCCUACAAAAUUUAUAAAUACAGUAUAACAUAAAAAAUUUACAUUCUUUUGGUAAUUGAGUCUGUUGCCUUUCCAGUAUAGAGUGAAUAAAAAGAUAUAAUGUGAUUCUUAUUCAAGGUUGAAAGUUGAAACAAAUCUUUUACUUAUGUUGAUAAUCUUAAGAUAAAUAUUCUUUUGUUAAAUUUUGUUAAUAGAUGAAGUUCAUAAUAUAGAACAGUAGUUACUUUCUUAUAACUAAAUGUGCUUUAAUCUGUUAUCGUAGUCAAGCAUAUCCAUUUAAAAUUUUGAUUUUGAGCCAAUUGAUGCCCAAAGUCUUUCUUGGUUGUUGUGAGUAUUAGGAGUGGAGAUGGCGAAUUACUGUGGUUUCCUCGUCAGUAGGUCUUAAAUCACAAAUCUUUUGAUACAGUUACUCACUAUUGGCAUCUACUAUCGGUCUAGAUGCUGUGUUUGUUAAACAUGUUCAGUUUUUUAGGGUGGAUAGAGACCAUGACCAUCUACUUUUUUUUUUCAUUUGUUUUACAUUCUCAAGCAAUUUAUAUAUAAAGAUUGCACAUAUUGUUUUAUGUUGUUGGUCAAUUCAUGCCUUCCAGAAGAGUACUGUUCUUUACAGCAGAGCUUGUCAUUUUCUCUUUCUUUAGACUCUUUGCAUUUCUACAGAAUUUGGCAUGGUUGCUUCAUGAUCUCAUGAACUGAAACUGCUACCAAUAACAACUCUUUCUAAGAUCAACUAGGUUUUCUAGGUAAGAAGUCAGUUCUAUUGCCUUAUCCCUAGGAAAAGUUGGCACCAACUUUCAUGUUAGUCAUAAUUUUAAAUUGUUCUCUAUUGCUAAUUUCUUAUUGCUUAUAUGGACAAGCAGUAUUUAUUUUGCUUGGCAAAUGCAUCUUAUUAUACUUUUAGGCAAGGUAAGUUGUUUGUUAGUUAACUGUUCAACCAUUUGGUCAACUGUAUCUUUUGGGGUGUAGCUAAAGUACUAAACAAAUAAUUUGGAUUAUGUAGAUGCAAUUUAUAUAAUAUUUGUUAAGAUAGUCGAGUAAACACUUAUUUCAAUAUUGCUUUCUUGCUGUUUUCUGUCUUUUAAGCUAUGAAUACUAGAUCUAGUUGUUGUCUUUAUGAUGGUGGAUGAUGGGUGACAAACCAUGUCACCAAAUAGACUCACCUAACCUACUAGAUUCGUCAAGUCUGCAUGCAGCCAUAAAUUGAGCGACCAACGUUUCUACUUCUGGCAUUGAUUGAGAAGACAUCUUAGAUGCUUGGUAGGUUUUUUUAUGAUGGUGGAUGAUGGGUGACAAACCAUGUCACCAAAUAGACUCACCUAACCUACUAGAUUCGUCAAGUCUGCAUGCAGCCAUAAAUUGAGCGACCAACGUUUCUACUUCUGGCAUUGAUUGAGAAGACAUCUUAGAUGCUUGGUAGGUUUUUUUGGCAACUUUUCAUAUGGACAUUGGUCCAUGAUUGAUGUCUGUAAUUAUUGGUGAAUAUCCAUGCAUUGUCACUAAAGUGUAUAGUCCAUGAUGAAGGUAUAUUGGAAGAGCAAGUUUAUUUGCUAAUUUUUUGUACAUAAUUUCUUCAUUAAUCUGUCACUUAAUGAACAUUUACACUUGUAGACAUCAUCACAUAUAGCUGAGGAUUACAAUGUUCCAUGGUCCUAGUGUUUUGUACUUUAGUAUUGCAUUAGUCAUCAGUUUUCUGGUUAAAGGAGCUUGGCAUCAGUUUUCUGAGGGCGUUCUGUUGAUUAUUAUACGUCUUCAGUUUCACGGACCUCAUGUAGAAAUGCUAGAUGCAUGUCUAUAAAUUGUAGAUCUAUCUAUAAAUGUUUAGUACCAUAUGCCAAGUGAGAGCAUAAGAGCCAGCUGGAGUAUUUCUUUGCUGGAUAAUAUGAGAAUAUUGUCUAAACUUCAAAUUGUAUGAAAAGUUGUUGAACUUGUUAUUUCAUUUCUCCAUUUUCUAUUAGAAAACGAGCAGUCAGUGAAGAAGGCUCUUGUCAAUGUGGGAUUAGGGGAUGGUCAAUAUACAAAUAGAGAGGCUGUUUUCACAACUCAAAACUCUGGUCACCUAGAUCUAAGAGGAACAAUCUUACUAUGACAACAAGGCCCAUCUUCUGUUCCAUUUUCUACUGGUACAUCAAAAUUAACAUUUUAAACAGAUUUAGUCAUAAAAGCAGCACUUAUGAUAAUGUAUCAAAUCGAGACCAAUUUGUCCUGUGUCAUGCAUUCUUAAAUUUCAAAUAUACCAGAAAGUGCUGAUAGAGAUUGAGUCUAUUUCACACUAUGAAGUAAUUUCUAUGGUUGGCUUUCAAACACUCGUCGCUUAUUUGCUACUUAGUAUGGACAAGUGCUUGUUGAAUUUAUUGUUUUUUGAGGCUUCCUGACCCAUUUGUUUUGUUUGUUGUUAAUACUUGUUUGUAGG